rnacentral:lncRNA from 1 species
AGCUUUGUUCUCUACCUUAUUCCACAAAUGGUAAAUUUAAGGAGACUUGUUCUUUUGUGCUUCGGAUUCAAUCUUUUUUUUCAUACAGAAAAAUAAUUUUAAAUUUGAUAGAACCAAAGGUUGGUUAACCGAUAACCGGAACAUUGCGGUUUAACAAACAAAAAAAAAGAAAAAUUGAUAAAUAUUAACUACUCUUUUUUUUGGUCGAAUCUACUUUAAG